CCUCUUCGUACCUCUGGUAGAAUUCGGAUGUGAAUCCAUCUGGUCCUGGACUUUUUUUGCUGUCCAGCCUCAGGGUGUCUUCAUAACUGUAGUUUCCUUGUGCAGUGACAGUAUGUCAAUACAGCCUCAGUGCUUAUGGGCUGACCUGCAGGUCUGCUACAGGAAUGUAUUAGACUUUGGAAAUGAUGUUAGACAAAAAGCAAAUUCAAGCAAUUUUCUUGUUCAAGUUCGAAAUGGAUCAUAAAGCAGCAGAGACAACUUGCAACAUCAACAAUGCAUUGGCCCAGGAACUGCUAACGAAUGUACAGUGCAGUGGUGGUUCAAGAAGUUUUUCAAAGGAGACCAGAGCCUUGAAGAUGAGGAGCUUCGUGAAGGGCCAUAAGAAGUUGACAAUGACCAAUUGAAAGAAACCAUUGAACCUGAUUCUCUUACAACUACAGGAGAAGUUGCCAAAGAACUCAACAUUGACCAUUCUACAGUUGUUUGUCAUUUAAAGCAAAUUGGAGAGGUGAAAAAGCAUGAUAAGUGGGUGCCUCAUGAGCUGAGUGAAAAUAAAAGAGAAUUAUCGUUUUGAAGUGUUGCCUUCUCUUACUGUAUGCAACAAUGAACCAUUUCUUGAUCGGAUAGUGAUGUGCACAAAAAGUGGAUUUUAUAUGACCAGUGAUGAACAACUCAGUGGCUGGACUGAGAAGAAGCUCUAAAGCACUUCCCAAAGCCAAACUUGCACCAAAAAAAGGACACUGUCACUAUUUGGUGGUCUGCUGCUGGUCUGGUCCACUACAGCUUUCUGAAUUCUAGCAAAGCCCUUACAUCUGAGAAGUAUGCUCAGCAAAUCAAUGAGAUGCACUGAAAACUGCAAUACCUGCAGCCGGCGUUGGUCAACAGAAAGGGCCCAAUUCUUCUCCACGACAACGCCCGACUGCGUAACACAACCAACACUUCAAAAGUUGAAUGAAUUGGGCUACGACAUUUUGCCUCAUCCACCAUAUUCACCUGACCUCUCACCAACUGCCUACCACUUCCUCAAGCAUCUUGACAACGUUUCGCAGGGGUCCACAACCAGCAGGAUGCAGAAAAUGCUUUCCAAGGAUUUGUCAAAUCCUGAAGCAUGAACUUUUAAGCUACGGGAAUAAACAAACUUAUUUCUUGUUGGGAAAAAUGUGUUGAUUGUUAUGGCUUCUAUUUUGAUUAAUAAAGAUGUGCUUGAGCCUAGUUAUAAUGAUUUAAAAUUCAUGAUCCAAAACCACAAUUACUUUUGCACCAGCCUAAUAUUUCAGAGGAAGUGGGACAGGUUUAUAUUCUGCCAUAUGGGGAAUCCUGGAUUGCCCCACCCUGAACUUGUGAGUUAUUCUAGUGAUACUGUCAUGCCUCUAGAAAUUAGCUCAGGGUAGCUGACUGCCUGGCCAGCUGCUUAAAGUGGCUCUGAUUUUAAAAUAUCAUGAGGGGAUAUAUUUUUCUUGUUUG